AAAUCUGCCACACUGUAGGAACUCUCUUUAAAAAGAGACUCAAAGGCUGGCUUCGCAGAGUAGCGGCAUUUCUCUUUGGGAUACAAGGUGAGGCUGGAACUAGGCUCACCACGUGGACAGGCGUGAUCUGUGUACAUAUGAGCCAACACAUUUAGACGACUGGAUGCCUCCUCCACGUCUUCUUCUCUUGCCUGCCAACUGGGAGAAAACCGAAGAAGACUCCAGGAUCCUGGGAGAUACAGCCAGCAUGAGCACAAAGAGAAGGUAUUGUUUUGCAUUUCAGACCAGCACUAGGAUUAAAAAUGACGAAUGAGAUUGCUGACCAGGGGAUCCAGAGAGACAACAUUCCUGCUGGAUGCCGUAUGAUGAAUCCUUAGUUUUGGCCUCUGCUGAGAUCCUGUGGCUGGCCUCUGGCCCCAGAUUAAGCUCCUAUAGGACUUUUGUUUUCACCCGAG